rnacentral:rRNA from 1 species
UAGAGUCCGUAGCCGUAGCAAGUGCUGGCGGCGUGCCUAAGGAACGGGAUUUGACCUUGGAUACAUUUGGAGGAGCUUGCUCCUCUGAGGGUGAGUAACCUACCUAUAAGACUCCGAUCCAGUGACUGGGACCCAUGACGGAUAACGCUCCCAGUACCGUAAACCCGUGGACUGAGGGGAAAAUACCGGAUAACAUGUUGAACCGCAUGGUCUUGCUGUCACUUACCGAUGACCGUAGGAAAUGACUAGAUAUUAGCUCCGAUGCAUGGCUUACCAAGGCCGAUGCGUAGCCACACUGGAACUGCUAAAGGUUCAGGUAGGGAUGGACCGGACCCGUAACGUUUAGCGUAGGCAGCAGUAGGGAAUCUUCCGCAAUGGGCGAAAGCCUGACGGAGCAACGCCGCGUGAGUGAAGAAGGUCUUCGGAUCGUAAAACUCUGUUAUUAGGGAAGAACAAAUGUGUAAGUAACUAUGCACGUCUUGACGGUACCUAAUCAGAAAGCCACGGCUAACUACGUGCACCGAUGACCAUGACGUAGGUGGCAAGCGUUACCCAGUUAUAUUAUUGGGCGUAAAGCGCGCGUAGGCGGUUUUUUAAGUCUGAUGUGAAAGCCCACGGCUCAACCGUGGAGGGUCAUCCAGUGGACGUAACCGGGUAGGGCGUGCAUGCAGAGUGCAGAAGCCCGUACGGUACAGGAAAGGCAGAGACCGUGACGUAGGACAACGUGGCCCAACAUCAAUCUUUCUGGUCUGUAACUGACUGGAAUGAAACGUGAACAGGAUUAGAUACCGUGCAGUGACGGUACGUACGAAUGCAUGGUGGCGCAUGCCCUGGUAUGAGGUUUCCGCCCCUUAGUGCCCGAUGAUGCAGCUAACGCAUUAAGCACUCCGCCUGGGGAGUACGACCGCAAACUCAAAGGGCCGAUAACGUAGCAGGUACGACCCGCACAAGCGGUGCGAAGCAACGCGAAGAAGGUUGAACCUUACCAAAUCUUCUAGAGAUAGAGUUUUCCCCUUCGGGGGACAGAGUGACAUGCUAAGUGUUAGGGGUGGUGGUGCAUGGUUGUCGUCAGCUCGUGUCGUGAGAUGUUGGGUUAAGUCCCGCAACGAGCGCAACCCUUAAGCUUCCGAUGCAGUAGACCGUAGAAAUAACCGUGAAGUUGCCAUCAUUAAUGACAAACCGGAGGAAGGAUGACGUCAAAUCAUCAUGCCCCUUAUGAUUUGGGCUACACACGUGCUACAAUGGACAAUACAAAGGGUAGCGAAACCGCGAGGUCCGUGCCGGUAGCCCAUGCCCAUCAAGCAAAUCAGUUCGGAUUUGGGGGUAGUCUGGAAUCGCUAGUAAUCGUAGACGGUGCCGUGAACGUUGUGGGAUAAUACGUUCCCGGGUCUUGUACACGCACCGCCCGUCACACCCCGUGAAACGUGACCCGAAGCCGGUGGAGUAACCUUUUGGAGCUAAACUCGACUAACAAAUGAUUGGGGUGAAGUCGUAACAAGGUAGCCGUA